rnacentral:lncRNA from 1 species
AAGUUUGCCAAUGUUGCGAUUUUGGCCCCCUAAUAAAAAAAAUGAAUAUUUUGCCCCCUAUGUUUUAGCCCCUUUGCAAAAGUGACCUUUUGAUCAAUUUUGACCGGGUCAACGCGGAGGUGGCACUUCAUUAAUAGUGCUGGCAUGCCACAUGUGUAUUUAACCAAUUUUUUUAAAAUCAAAAUGCCACCUGUGUAUUUACUUGAAU